CAGUCGCCGCGGGAAUACGUAGGGUGCAAGCGUUAAUCGGAAUUACUGGGCGUAAAGCGUGCGCAGGCGGUUAUAUAAGUCAGAUGUGAAAUCCCCGGGCUCAACCUGGGAACUGCAUUUGAGACUGUAUGGCUAGAGUGUGUCAGAGGGGGGUAGAAUUCCACGUGUAGCAGUGAAAUGCGUAGAUAUGUGGAGGAAUACCGAUGGCGAAGGCAGCCCCCUGGGAUAACACUGACGCUCAUGCACGAAAGCGUGGGGAGCAAACAGGAUUAGAUACCCGAGUAGUCCCUGUCUCUUAUAC
rnacentral:rRNA from 1 species